rnacentral:rRNA from 1 species
AUGGAUCACACCCCGGAGAUCAUCUGCUGGAAUGUGAGAGGGUUGAACAACCCGGCCAAGAGGAAGGUAGUUAGGGAGUUCCUUUCUUCUUUAAAAGUCAACCUAGUUUGCUUGCAAGAAACGAAGCUUGAGCUUGUAGAUCAAUUCAUGGUUAUGCAAUGUUUAGGGCCAUCCUUUGAUGGCUUUGCUUACUUGCCGGCUGAGGAAACGCGUGGAGGUAUAUUAUUGGCAUGGGACACU